rnacentral:rRNA from 1 species
GAUGAACGCUAGCUACAGGCUUAACACAUGCAAGUCGAGGGGAAACGGCAUUAAGUGCUUGCACUUUUUGGACGUCGACCGGCGCACGGGUGAGUAACGCGUAUCCAACCUUCCCAUGACUAAGGGAUAACCUGCCGAAAGGCAGACUAAUACCUUAUGGUCUUCACUGACGGCAUCAGAUGUGAAGUAAAGAUUUAUCGGUUAUGGAUGGGGAUGCGUCUGAUUGGCUUGUUGGCGGGGUAACGGCCCACCAAGGCAACGAUCAGUAGGGGUUCUGAGAGGAAGGUCCCCCACAUUGGAACUGAGACACGGUCCAAACUCCUACGGGAGGCAGCAGUGAGGAAUAUUGGUCAAUGGGCGAGAGCCUGAACCAGCCAAGUAGCGUGCAGGAUGACGGCCCUAUGGGUUGUAAACUGCUUUUGUAUGGGGAUAAAGUCAAUCACGUGUGAUUGUUUGCAGGUACCAUACGAAUAAGGACCGGCUAAUUCCGUG